rnacentral:rRNA from 1 species
UACGUACUGGGCGAACGUUAUUCGGAAUCACUGGGCUUAAAGGGUGCGUAGGCGGCCUUCCAGGUCCGGUGUGAAAUCUCUCGGCUCAACCGAGAAAUGGCGCUGGAAACCGGAAGGCUUGAGUGGGCUAGGGGUGUGUGGAACUUCCAGUGGAGCGGUGAAAUGUGUUGAUAUUGGAAGGAACGCCGGUGGCGAAAGCGACACACUGGGGCCUAACUGACGCUGAGGCACGAAAGCUAGGGUAGCGAACGGGAUUAGAAACCCCCGUAGUCC